UACGAAGGGGGCUAGCGUUGCUCGGAAUUACUGGGCGUAAAGGGAGCGUAGGUGGACAGUUUAGUCAGAGGUGAAAGCCCAGGGCUCAACCUUGGAAUUGCCUUUGAUACUGGCUGUCUUGAGUACGGAAGAGGUAUGUGGAACUCCGAGUGUAGAGGUGAAAUUCGUAGAUAUUCGGAAGAACACCAGUGGCGAAGGCGACAUACUGGUCCGUUACUGACACUGAGGCUCGAAAGCGUGGGGAGCAAACGGG
rnacentral:rRNA from 1 species